rnacentral:rRNA from 1 species
AAAAAGACCGCAAAACCGUUAGGAGGGAAGCGAAUGCAGCUGAAGUAGUUCUCUUCCAGGCUCAGGAGGCGUCGUCUCGUUCUGCUGGCUGGCGGAAACCGUUAGGUGUCGGCAGUCGGACGGGCGGGCGACCAAUCUGCACUCCUGGAGAGAGCUGGCCAACGACAGUUGUCUCUGGCUCACAAGGGCGGUUGGGUAGGUAGCUCCUCCCUCCASAGGAGAACUAAUUGCCAGCCGUCUGGCAGACUGGAUGCGACUGAGGAGAGUUGCGAACUUUCGCACGUGCAGUGUAGGCCCUUUUGGGCCGGGGCACCUCUAUCCGCUUGGGCACCGCUCUGGGGACUGCUUGCAGUGUCCAGUGACGAAUGUCUGCUCGGUUGGGGGGAAGUCCACUCCUUGCACUGCAGUCGUUGGUGUCCAAAUGGCUGCAUCCGACCCGUCUUGAAACACGGACCAAGGAGUGCAACAUGCGUGCGAGUCUUGGGGUGGCAAACCCAUCGGCGCAAUGAAGGUGAAGGCAGAUGUUGGUCUGCUCAGGCAGGAGCCUCCUCCCGGGGGGCACACUGUCGACCGAUCCCAGGCUACGCUGUGGCGGGAUUUGAGUAAGAGCGUGCCUGUUGCGACCCGAAAGAUGGUGAACUAUGCCUGAAUAGGGUGAAGCCAGAGGAAACUCUGGUGGAAGCUCGUAGCGAUUCUGACGUGCAAAUCGAUCGUCAAAUUUGGGUAUAGGGGCGAAAGACUAAUCGAACCAUCUAGUAGCUGGUUCCCUCCGAAGUUUCCCUUAGGAUAGCUGGAGCCCGGUGCAGUUUUAUCAGGUAAAGCGAAUGAUUAGAGGUCUUGGGGUUGAAACAACCUCAACCUAUUCUCAAACUUUAAAUGGGUAAGAAGCUCGGCUUGCUCAACUGAAGUCGGGCACUGAAUGCUGGGGCUCUUAGUGGGCCAUUUUUGGUAAGCAGAACUGGCGAUGUGGGAUGAACCAAAUGCUGGGUUAAGGUGCCCGAAUCGACGCUCAUCAGAUACCAUGAAAGGUGUUGGUUGAUCUAGACAGCAGGACGGUGGCCAUGGAAGUCGGAAUCCGCUAAGGAGUGUGUAACAACUCACCUGCCGAAUCAACUAGCCCUGAAAAUGGAUGGCGCUGAAGCGUCGUACCCAUACCCAGCCGUCAGGCUGAGUGGCCGAACCUGACGUGUAGGAGGGCGCAGUGGUGGCCGUGCAGCCUCUGGCGCGAGCCUGGGUGAAGCCGCCACUGGUGCAGAUCUUGGUGGUAGUAGCAAAUAUUCAAACGAGAGCUUUGAAGACUGAAGUGGAGAAGGGUUCCAUGUGAACAGCAGUUGGACAUGGGUUAGUCGAUCCUAAGAGAAGGAGAGGUCCUUUNAGAAGGCGCAAUUCGCCCCGGCGACCGCGCUGUUCCUCGAAAGGGAAUCGGGUUAACAUUCCCGAACCAGGAUGCGGAUAGGCCCUCGGGCCGUCAGCGGCAACGCAAGCGAACUCGGAGACGUCGGCAGGAGCCCCGGGAAGAGUUCUCUUUUCUUCUUAACGGACUGGCACCCUGGAAUCAGAUUGUCUGGAGAUAGGGUUGAAUGUCCGGUAAAGCACCACACUUGUGGUGGUGUCCGGUGCGCUCUUGACGGCCCGUGAAAAUCCGAGGGAGC